GAUGAAGAACGUAGCGAAAUGCGAUAAGUAAUGUGAAUUGCAGAAUUCAGUGAAUCAUCGAAUCUUUGAACGCACAUUGCGCCCGCCAGUAUUCUGGCGGGCAUGCCUGUUCGAGCGUCAUUACAACCCUCAGGCCCCCGGGCCUGGCGUUGGGGAUCGGCGGAGCCCCCCGUGGGCACACGCCGUCCCCCAAAUGCAGUGGCGGUCCCGCCGCAGCUUCCAUCGCGUAGUAGCUAACACCUCGCGACUGGAGAGCGGCGCGGCCACGCCGUAAAACACCCAACUCUUCUGAAGUUGACCUCGAAUCAGGUAGGAAUACCCGCUGAACUUAAGCAUAUCAAAAGCGGAGGA
rnacentral:misc_RNA from 1 species